UACAGAGGUCUCAAGCGUUGUUCGGAUUCAUUGGGCGUAAAGGGUGCGUAGGCGGCGCGGUAAGUCGGGUGUGAAAUCUCGGAGCUUAACUCCGAAACUGCAUUCGAUACUGCCGUGCUUGAGGACUGGAGAGGAGACUGGAAUUUACGGUGUAGCGGUGAAAUGCGUAGAUAUCGUAAGGAAGACCAGUGGCGAAGGCGGCGUUCUGGACUGCAACUGACACUGAAAGACGAAAGCCAGGGGAGCAAACGGG
rnacentral:rRNA from 1 species